rnacentral:rRNA from 1 species
UACGUAGGGUCCAAGCGUUUAUCCGGAAUCACUGGGCGUAAAGCGUGCGCAGGCGGUUCGUUGUGUCGGUGGUGAAAGCCCCGGGCUUAACCUGGGAAUGGCCGUCGAAACUGGCGAACUGGAGUGUGGCAGAGGGGGGUGGAAUUCCGCGUGUAGCAGUGAAAUGCGUAGAGAUGCGGAGGAACACCGAUGGCGAAGGCAGCCCCCUGGGCUGACACUGACGCUCAGGCACGAAAGCGUGGGGAGCGAACAGG